UUUGCUGUUUUCCAUCGCAAGUCCAAAUUUGCAUAACAAAAGCUUGCAUUCAAAAUCAAUGACGUAUUCGUCGGUGAUUGGUUCUCGUCGCUCUAAUACAUAUUCAAUACUUAUUUCCAAAUUUUGCUCAUUUGCUUCUGUGUGUCGUGGUGGCAACAUGUUCUGUGAUGUUGUCCUGUGGGUUGAACUUGUGAAGGAUUGUUAUGCAGUGGUUUGGCUAACAGCAAAAGGGAACAAGAGUUACCUCUUUUUUUCCAAAACCGAAAAAGAUCAGUACCAAGACAACAAGAAACGACAAGAAGACAGCGAUAUCACAUCGCUGUGAAAAGAGCAAUUUCAAGAUGGACGAAGAACGCGCAAAGAUUAGAA